GAUGAACGCUGGCGGCGUGCCUAAUACAUGCAAGUCGAGCGAACGGACGAGAAGCUUGCUUCUCUGAUGUUAGCGGCGGACGGGUGAGUAACACGUGGAUAACCUACCUAUAAGACUGGGAUAACUUCGGGAAACCGGAGCUAAUACCGGAUAAUAUUUUGAACCGCAUGGUUCAAAAGUGAAAGACGGUCUUGCUGUCACUUAUAGAUGGAUCCGCGCUGCAUUAGCUAGUUGGUAAGGUAACGGCUUACCAAGGCAACGAUGCAUAGCCGACCUGAGAGGGUGAUCGGCCACACUGGAACUGAGACACGGUCCAGACUCCUACGGGAGGCAGCAGUAGGGAAUCUUCCGCAAUGGGCGAAAGCCUGACGGAGCAACGCCGCGUGAGUGAUGAAGGUCUUCGGAUCGUAAAACUCUGUUAUUAGGGAAGAACAUAUGUGUAAGUAACUGUGCACAUCUGGACGGUACCUAAUUAGAAAGCCACGGCUAACUACGU
rnacentral:rRNA from 1 species